UCGUCCUACGGGGGGCAGCAGUAGGGAAUCUUCCACAAUGGGCGAAAGCCUGCUGGAGCCCCUCCGCGUGUGUGAAGAAGGUCUUCGGAUCGUAAAACCCUGUUGUUAGAGAAGAAAGUGCGUGAGAGUAACUGUUCACGUUUCGACGGUAUCUAACCAGAAAGCCACGGCUAACUACGUGCCAGCAGCCGCGGUAAUACGUAGGUGGCAAGCGUUAUCCGGAUUUAUUGGGCGUAAAGGGAACGCAGGCGGUCUUUUAAGUCUGAUGUGAAAGCCUUCGGCUUAACCGGAGUAGUGCAUUGGAG
rnacentral:rRNA from 1 species